rnacentral:rRNA from 1 species
UACGUAGGGAGCAAGCGUUGUUCGGAUUUACUGGGCGUAAAGGGCGCGUAGGCGGCGCGGUAAGUCACUUGUGAAAUCUCUGAGCCUAACUCAGAACGGCCAAGUGAUACUGCAGUGCUAGAGUGCAGAAGGGGCAAUCGGAAUUCUUGGUGUAGCGGUGAAAUGCGUAGAUAUCUGGAGGAACACCGGUGGCGAAGGCGGCGUUCUGGACUGUAUCUGACACUGAGGAACGAAAGCCAGGGGAGCAAACGGG